GACGAACCGUGCGAACGUUAUUCGGAAUCACUGGGCUUAAAGCGCGUGUAGGCGGGCCGGCACGUCGGCCGCUGAAAUCCCCCGGCUCAACCGGGGAAGCGGCGCCGAUACGACCGGCCUGGAGGGGCGUAGGGGGACCGGGAACUUCCGGUGGAGCGGUGAAAUGCGUUGAGAUCGGAAGGAACGCCCGUGGCGAAAGCGCGGUCCUGGACGCCUGCUGACGCUGAGACGCGAAAGCGUGGGGAGCAAACAGG
rnacentral:rRNA from 1 species